rnacentral:rRNA from 1 species
AACGAACGCUGGCGGCGCGUCUUAAAGCAUGCAAGUCGAACGGCAUGAGGAAGCUUGCUUCCUCAGAGAGUGGCGGACUGGUGAGUAACACGUGGGUGACCUACCCUUGAGAUGGGGGAUAGCCAUUAGAAAUAGUGGAUAAUACCGAAUACGCUCUACGGACUCUGGUUUGUAGAGGAAACAGGCUACGGCCUGGCUCGAGGAUGGGCCCGCGUCCCAUUAGCUAGUUGGUGAGGUAAGAGCCCACCAAGGCGACGAUGGGUAUCCGGCCUGAGAGGGUGUACGGACACAUUGGGACUGAGAUACGGCCCAAACUCCUACGGGAGGCAGCAGCUAAGAAUAUUCCGCAAUGGACGAAAGUCUGACGGAGCGACGCCGCGUGGAUGACGAAGGCCGAAAGGUUGUAAAAUCCUUUUGCUGAUGAAGAAUAAGCGUGGUAGGGAAUGACCGCGUGAUGACAUUAGUCGGUGAAUAAGCCCCGGCUAACUACGUGCCAGCAGCCG